CACCCCUGGCAAUGGACAAAGAGACACCUCAUUGGUGGUGGUGUCUUAAAAUCAGUCAGAGGCAGAGCAGAUGGUAAUUCUUUGCUUAUCCUAGCUAGAUGCCUGGCUCAGGGGCCAAAGGUGUUUCACACCUAGGGCACAAUC